GACACCAUUUUUAGCUGCUCCCGCCUUUGCUUUGUUCUAAUCUCUCCCCUAAAUGCUGUAUUAAACGAAUUGAUGCAUAAUGAAUACUAAUCCCUGCUGUGUUCAACUCAUGUAUUGUACUGUAAAAGACUGAUGAUCUGACGAGCUUCUUUCUGCAGUGUUGGAUGAUGGAUCGCAGUGUGAAUGUGACGUGUGAUGAGAUUCAGAUCAGAGACGGGUUUGAGUUCAGAGUUCCUGCUGACAGAUUCACUCUCUUCCAUCAGUCUGACUGUGAACCGCUCUGGUACUCACAGGAUGAUCGUCUGAUAGCAGAUCCAUCAGAUCCUCAGAAACUGAUUGCUCCUGUGGUUUCUGUCUCUUCUGAUCGUCUCGUCACGUCUCACUGUGUGAAUCAACUCCGUCACGAGAUCCGCUGCGAUGCUUCUGGAUUCAGACUGGAC